rnacentral:tRNA from 1 species
UGCGAAGCUUUGCUUCGGGGGUGGACUUCUGGAUCGCGUAGCAGCGUUUGCGUCGGUAUCUGGGCUUGUAGCUCAGUUGGUUAGAGCACACGCUUGAUAAGCGUGGGGUCGGAGGUUCAAGUCCUCCCAGGCCCACCAUGUUACAUGAUAAGGGGCCGUAGCUCAGCUGGGAGAGCACCUGCUUUGCAAGCAGGGGGUCGUCGGUUCGAUCCCGUCCGGCUCCACCAUCGUGUUUUGGUGUAGAGACGGAUAUUGGCAAUCAACGAAAGAAAGAAACAAGUUUGCGGACUUUUAUGAAAGUCUGCCUGUUCUGUAUGAAAUCGUGAAGAGAAGAUGUAAUCGGAUCAACUAUCCAGUUGAUGUCGCAAGAGCUUGCUCAAGCCUUGCAUUAUGAUUGAUGUGUUUAACCGCCAUCACCGAUUGUAUCUCGAGAAGCUGGUCUUUCUGCUGAUACUGUUGAAGCUUGAAUGAGUUUUGAU